rnacentral:piRNA from 1 species
CCAAAUAAAUGGGAGGUCAGUGAUGUU